rnacentral:rRNA from 1 species
GACGAACGCUGGCGCCGUGCUUAACACAUGCAAGUCGAACGAUGAAGCGCUGUCUUUUUGGUGUUGUGGAUUAGUGUCGAACGGGUGAGUAAUACGCGGGCAACCUGCGCCUCUGCUUCGGGAUAAGCUUUGGAAACGGGGUCUAAUACCGGAUGUGCCUGUCUGGUCGCAUGUCUGGGCGGGGAAAGAUGUUUUUCGGCGGGGGAUGGGCUCGCGGCCUAUCAGCUUGUUGUGGGGGUGACGGCCUACCAAGGCGUCGACGGGUAGCCGGCCUGAGAGAGUGGUCGGCCACACUAGGACUGAGAUACGGCCCAGACUCCUACGGGGGGGAGCAGUGGGGGGAUAUUGCACAAUGGGCGCACGCGUGAUGCGGCGCCCCCCCCGGGGGGGAUGGAGGCUUUCGGGUUUUAAACCCCUUUUUGGGGCGGGGACAAGGGUUCCGUUUGGGGGGGUUGAGGGUACCCGUCAAAAAAAAGCCGGGGUAACUACGUGUCAGGAGGCCGCGGAAAUACGUGGGGGGGGAGGGUUGUUCCGGAAUUAUUUGGGGGGAAAAAGGGUUCUUAGGGGGCUUGUUCGCGUCUCCUGUGAAAACCCGGGGCUUCAACUCUCCCCCUUUCAGGGGGAACGGGCGGGCUGGGAGUUCCGCAAGGGUUUUUUUUAAUUUCCUGGGGUUACCGGGAAAAAGCGCAGAUUUCCGGGAAGAACCCCUAUGGGGAAGGCGGGCCCCUGGGCCCUCCCUGAGACUUUAGGGGGGAAAAAGGGGGGGGGAAAAAAGGAUUAUAUAUCCCGGGUAUCCAAGGGGCAAAUCCCCAACGGGGGGCCCCCCCGGGGGUUCCCCAUAUUUUAAGGGGGCCCCCCCGCGGGCUCUUUAUUUUUCUCAUUAAGGGGGGGAUUAGCGCGCCCCCCUUCUCUUUUUUUAAAAACGCCCAUCUUUCACAACCCGCGCCUUACCCAAUUACAGCGCCCUGGAAAGAAUUCUCUUUUUUGUAUUUUUGAUUAAUAU